rnacentral:lncRNA from 1 species
GUAAAUUUGUGGAUUUUACAUUGGUGUGUGGUUGUUGUCUAAUGUAGUGAAACUUGUCUUUCAUUUGUAUGUAGGAUGGCAGGAAAGAAUUUCGGACGUUGUCAUAGCUGUAGAGAGAAAAGACACUUCUUCACAGAUUACCCAAGAAACGACAAUGCCUGUGGUGUAAAAUUGGAUAUGUGAAGUGCUUUGAGGUUUAGAGGGAAACGAAGAACAAAGGAAAAUUGUUCAAUUGCUGUAGUGCUAACUGUAAAUACUGGGAAUGGGUUAACGAAUGAGAAUUGAGCAACGGAUCGACUACUAUUGCAAUGAACUCAAAUAAUCAAGCGGCACUUUAAGAAGUCCAGCAGUUCUCUCGUAUGUUCCAGUCCCUUUGUCGGGUAAACGAAGAACAAAAUAUUGAAAUUUCUUUGAACGUGACAAUAAGGAAGGCCAAUGGAAGUGCGGGAGUGGAUAAGAAAUGGAAGGGGCCGGCAUGAUUGGGAACACGAUCUUUUCUUAGGAGGCAUCGGUAACAUUUAGGAUGUGCAAUAUAUGUUGUGUUAUGUAGAGUUGAUGUAUAAUAUGUGUUGUGUUGUGUGAACAAAUCAUUGUAAUGUAGUCGCAUUUCAUGUUUCCGUCGUUAUGUGAAUGAUGUUGAUGUUAAUUUUAGUGGACUGCAGUUUGUUCUCUUCAUUAUGUACCAGCAAUUUUUCUUCAGUCAAUU